UACGUAGGUGGCGAGCGUUGUCCGGAUAUACUGGGCGUAAAGGGAGCGUAGGCGGACUUUUAAGUGAGAUGUGAAAUACUCGGGCUCAACUUGAGUGCUGCAUUUCAAACUGGAAGUCUAGAGUGCAGGAGAGGAGAAUGGAAUUCCUAGUGUAGCGGUGAAAUGCGUAGAGAUUAGGAAGAACACCAGUGGCGAAGGCGAUUCUCUGGACUGUAACUGACGCUGAGGCUCGAAAGCGUGGGGAGCAAACAGG
rnacentral:rRNA from 1 species